UCUCAUCCUCAAAUCACUACCUUCUCUCUCCCUCUCUAUCUCCAGUUUUUCAAAAUGACCCAAUCACUCAUCGAUGGUGGUGGCAUAAGUUCUGUGUUCCAUGAUAGUGUUCGAAGAUGUCCGCCGACGUUACCAGCAACGAGGAAGACAAGCCCACCUAUCAGGGCGCACACAUCCAUCUCAAGGUCAAGGGCCAGGUUUGUUCCCCUCAAUUUCUAGAGUUAUCUUCCAAUUCAGUUCAAUUUAUGGCCAUGUCUUCUCCUCUGCUUAUCCACCAUUCACCGUCGUUUCUUCGCAAGCGCGGCUGGUGGCCCUUUUUUCUCUUCAACGCAACUUCUUCUCUGUAGAUCAUCAUCACUCACGCGUUCAUGCGUCAAACCGUGAAUCUAAGCCAUUAUUCCCAUCAUCCCCUCCCUCCGUUUUGUUAUUGUCGAAGCGUGUCAUCUCAGGAUUGUUUCUCAUUCUCAUGCACUGCCGCUGCUCUGAAGACCUAAUUUUGAGAAGCUUAAAGAUGGAAUUCCGUCAAUUUCUCGACAAUCAAUCAGGUUUUUGGGUGGCGCAGGUGUGAGAUUGAUGCCACUUUGAGGAGGUGGGCAACUCAAAUAUGAAGAUAACUUUUCUUAUAAGAUUUACUUGGGAUUAUGAGCUUAUACCACCAAAUAUGGAUGAAGAUCUUAUGAGAAACCCAUGAGCCUCUUCAAUUUACUAUUAUGACGAAGGAACAUGGCUAUCUAUGCUAUCAAGAAGAAGAAACAACAUGAAAAGAGGGUAGAUAAUUUGAACUAGGGAGCAGUGCUGAUUGGUCCCAUAAUUUGAAAUCAUCAUGCUGCUAGAGGGUAGAUAAUCUAAGAUAUUUGUUCAAUUUAAAAAUGAAUGUUGGGAGAGCGAAGUUAGUGAUAACACUUUAAGUUCUAAUGUAUUUGUGAUGUAUCUCAGUGAAUAAGUGAUAAUUGGUGAUUUUGUUUCCUUCUCUGUUAAUGUGAAAUCUGGGUUUGAAAUU